rnacentral:lncRNA from 1 species
GGCGCCUCCAUUCAAGUUUUAACAAGAGUCGCCAUAUGAACAACUUUCAUGUUCAUCAAAAAUCCAUUUGAAACUUGGAAGCUCAUCAUUCAUUUCAAAACAUUAUAGGUCAUUUUGACAGAAACCCUAAUUUUGGGUCAACUUCGCAGGGACCUAACUCACUCAUUUUUAAUUAUUUUGAGGUGGGACCAAGUGCAUUGCAAAAUUUAAGAUGUCUACUUCAGUU